CUGAGGACUGCCCGCGGCCCAGAGCUUUGCCCCCGCCUGUGGGGAGCUCAUAGCUAUAAUUGCCUUGAUUUCAGAGGACACUUUGGAUUUCAACUUUUUAGCAGUGCUGGAAUAGCUGGAAUUCGUUUCUGCAGCUUGCAACCAAGAGUGUUCACUAAUAUACAAUGUGUCUUUACAUGAGCAUCCUGGGGCUGCCACUAGUAUAUGAACCAUCAAUAGUUUUACAAGUGUAAAGGAUCAGGAACCAGAAGUAACACAGUCUUUCAGGUGACUAACAGGCUUGUGCCAGGGACAUAAGCAGGGUGGACAAUAGAGGACAACUGUUUCCGUAGGCAGCCGGGGAAGAAAAAUCUAAAAUUGAAAAAUAAUAAUCAAAAGUAACAGCAGAUGUAUUGAGUCUAGCCACCCCUACAGACACUUUCAGAAUUGGAUAUUCAUUUCUACCUUUAUAGAGAGAAAUGUGAUGCCAAAAGAGGUUAAGGAUUCUUUAUAAAUCCUGACAUUAAAGUUGUUCAAAUCCACCAG
ensembl:lncRNA